UCUACUUUCUCCAAUUUAAGUACUUUAUUUCUAGGCAACCAAGGGUCCUUUGAUGAAGUCACUAAAAAUCAUUGAUGAUACUGUUUUGUUGAACAAAUUCUGACAAAUCAGAAUAAUAUGACUCUUGAGCAGUGAUUUCUGGGUUCUACUUGGCCAGCAAAAUUUU